ACGCUCGACACCUACGGGAGGGCAGCAGUCGGGAAUAUUGCGCAAUGGAGGAAACUCUGACGCAGUGACGCCGCGUAUAGGAAGAAGGUUUUCGGAUUGUAAACUAUUGUCGUUAGGGAAGAUACAAGACAGUACCUAAGGAGGAAGCACCGGCUAACUAUGUGCAGCAGCCGCGGUAAUCUGAGGCGGGCUGGCAAGGC
rnacentral:rRNA from 1 species